GGAUGCGAUCAUACCAACUCACAUGCACCGGAUCCCAUCAGAACUCCGAAGCUAAGCGAGUUUGGGCGAGAGUAGUACUAGGAUGGGUGACCUCCUGGGAAGUCCUCGUGUUGCAUCCC
rfam:Prunus persica cultivar Lovell chromosome G6, whole genome shotgun sequence.